UGCAGUCGAGCGAAAGACGAGGAGCUUGCUCCUCUGACGUUAGCGGCGGACGGGUGAGUAACACGUGGAUAACCUACCUAUAAGACUGGGAUAACUUCGGGAAACCGGAGCUAAUACCGGAUAAUAUAUUGAACCGCAUGGUUCAAUAGUGAAAGACGGUUUUGCUGUCACUUAUAGAUGGAUCCGCGCCGCAUUAGCUAGUUGGUAAGGUAACGGCUUACCAAGGCAACGAUGCGUAGCCGACCUGAGAGGGUGAUCGGCCACACUGGAACUGAGACACGGUCCAGACUCCUACGGGAGGCAGCAGUAGGGAAUCUUCCGCAAUGGGCGAAAGCCUGACGGAGCAACGCCGCGUGAGUGAUGAAGGUCUUCGGAUCGUAAAACUCUGUUAUUAGGGAAGAACAAAUGUGUAAGUAACUAUGCACGUCUUGACGGUACCUAAUCAGAAAGCCACGGCUAACUACGUGCCAGCAGCCGCGGUAAUACGUAGGUGGCAAGCGUUAUCCGGAAUUAUUGGGCGUAAAGCGCGCGUAGGCGGUUUUUUAAGUCUGAUGUGAAAGCCCACGGCUCAACCGUGGAGGGUCAUUGGAAACUGGAAAACUUGAGUGCAGAAGAGGAAAGUGGAAUUCCAUGUGUAGCGGUGAAAUGCGCAGAGAUAUGGAGGAACACCAGUGGCGAAGGCGACUUUCUGGUCUGUAACUGACGCUGAUGUGCGAAAGCGUGGGGAUCAAACAGGAUUAGAUACCCUGGUAGUCCACGCCGUAAACGAUGAGUGCUAAGUGUUAGGGGGUUUCCGCCCCUUAGUGCUGCAGCUAACGCAUUAAGCACUCCGCCUGGGGAGUACGACCGCAAGGUUGAAACUCAAAGGAAUUGAUGGGGACCUGUACAAGCGGUNGA
rnacentral:rRNA from 1 species